ACGCUGGCGGCGUGCCUAAUACAUGCAAGUAGAACGCUGAAAGAGGAGCUUGCUUCUCUGGAUGAGUUGCGAACGGGUGAGUAACGCGUAGGUAACCUGCCUGGUAGCGGGGGAUAACUAUUGGAAACGAUAGCUAAUACCGCAUAAGAGUAGAUGUUGCAUGACAUUUGCUUAAAAGGUGCAAUUGCAUCACUACCAGAUGGACCUGCGUUGUAUUAGCUAGUUGGUGGGGUAACGGCUCACCAAGGCGACGAUACAUAGCCGACCUGAGAGGGUGAUCGGCCACACUGGGACUGAGGCACGGCCCAGACUCCUACGGGAGGCAGCAGUAGGGAAUCUUCGGCAAUGGACGGAAGUCUGACCGAGCAACGCCGCGUGAGUGAAGAAGGUUUUCGGAUCGUAAAGCUCUGUUGUAAGAGAAGAACGAGUGUGAGAGUGGAAAGUUCACACUGUGACGGUAUCUUACCAGAAAGGGACGGCUAACUACGUGCCAGCAGCCGCGGUAAUACGUAGGUCCCGAGCGUUGUCCGGAUUUAUUGGGCGUAAAGCGAGCGCAGGCGGUUAGAUAAGUCUGAAGUUAAAGGCUGUGGCUUAACCAUAGUACGCUUUGGAAACUGUUUAACUUGAGUGCAAGAGGGGAGAGUGGAAUUCCAUGUGUUGCGGUGAAAUGCGUAGAUAUAUGGAGGAACACCGGUGGCGAAAGCGGCUCUCUGGCUUGUAACUGACGCUGAGGCUCGAAAGCGUGGGGAGCAAACAGGAUUAGAUACCCUGGUAGUCCACGCCGUAAACGAUGAGUGCUAGGUGUUAGACCCUUUCCGGGGUUUAGUGCCGCAGCUAACGCAUUAAGCACUCCGCCUGGGGAGUACGACCGCAAGGUUGAAACUCAAAGGAAUUGACGGGGGCCCGCACAA
rnacentral:rRNA from 1 species